CUCCAGUUGAUCGCAUGGUCUUCUGGGAAAGCUUUCGCGGUAUGGGAUGGGGUCGCGUCCUAUCAGCUUGACGGCGGGGUAACGGCCCACCGUGGCUUCGACGGGUAGCCGGCCUGAGAGGGCGACCGGCCACAUUGGGACUGAGAUACGGCCCAGACUCCUACGGGAGGCAGCAGUGGGGAAUAUUGCACAAUGGGCGCAAGCCUGAUGCAGCGACGCCGCGUGAGGGAUGGAGGCCUUCGGGUUGUAAACCUCUUUUAUCGGGGAGCAAGCGAGAGUGAGUUUACCCGUUGAAUAAGCACCGGCUAACUACGUGCCAGCAGCCGCGGUAAUACGUAGGGUGCAAGCGUUAUCCGGAAUUAUUGGGCGUAAAGGGCUCGUAGGCGGUUCGUCGCGUCCGGUGUGAAAGCCCAUCGCUUAACGGUGGACCCGCGCCGGGUACGGGCGGG
rnacentral:rRNA from 1 species